rnacentral:tRNA from 1 species
AGCUCUGAGGUGUUUAGACAUAUUAGAUUGCAAACCUAAAGAAGUAGGCUCACCGCCUUCCAGGGCUU